rnacentral:rRNA from 1 species
CCUACGGGAGGCUGCAGUGAGGAAUAUUGGUCAAUGGGCGCGAGCCUGAACCAGCCAAGUAGCGUGAAGGAUGACUGCCCUACGGGUUGUAAACUUCUUUUAUCAAGGAAUAAAGUGAGGCACGUGUCCUAUUUUGUAUGUACCUUAUGAAUAAGGAUCGGCUAACUCCGUGCCAGCAGCCGCGGUAAUACGGAGGAUCCGAGCGUUAUCCGGAUUUAUUGGGUUUAAAGGGUGCGUAGGCGGCCUUUUAAGUCAGCGGUGAAAGUCUGUGGCUCAACCACAGUAUUGCCGUUGAAACUGGGGGGCUUGAGUAUGUGUGAGGCAGGCGGAAUGCGUGGUGUAGCGGUGAAAUGCUUAGAUAUCACGCAGAACCCCGAUUGCGAAGGCAGCCUGCCAAGCCAUGACUGACGCUGAUGCACGAAAGCGUGGGGAUCAAACAGGAUUAGAUACCCUUGUAGUC